GAUACCUACAAGAUAAACUUCCUCAGUCAGUCUGGGGAACCAUCCAGUUUUCCACACCUCCUCAAACUAGGAACCAGAGUUGAAAGGCCAAAGUCACAUUACUUUCUGAGCGAGCCACAAGCAAAAGCCCAUAGCUUAACUAAAUAUAAAUUGUGGCUUUCUUUCUCUCUUCCAGAAACCUGUGGAAGUAACCGUUGCAUUGAAAGGAAUCCAUUAAUUAUGUAUCUUGAUUAUGGUGGUGAUUACAUGAAUCUACAUGAGAUAAAAUGACACAGAACUAUACAGACUCAAGAUACCACGUAGGCUUCCCGAUUUGUGGAUAUUGUACCACAGUGAUCUAAGAUGUAACCAAUGGGAGACACUGGAUGAAAGCAAUUAUUUUUGAGGUACCUGUUGUGUGAUCCUUUGGGGGCCCUGCAGUUACAAACGUGGUGAAGUUUACAGUCUCUGCAAAUCAGCUCACAAAGAGGCCCUAGAAUUAGCCAAAACCUCUAUUUAACCAGACUGGAAACAACAACUGACAAGGAUACAGAAUGCCUCACUUGAGGCAUAGAGACACAGAGCUUUCGAAGCUUACGAACAGACUAAUUUAAGCUAGACGAACUCAAGUCAGUGACUGUGAUUUUGUUGCAGUUUGUGAACUGGUUCUCCCUUCACAGCGUUGUGGUCUACAGGAUUCAAGAGCUGAGGAGGAGGACGAAGUCGAGGUAGAAACGGUUCUCCUCCACACCUCACACAUCAAAGGUGUAUUUAUAAACAUAUUGGUUAUGUGAGCAGGAAGCAUCAUUGGUAUAAAUUUAAAAGCCUUUUGUUAAGCAGGUGGCAGCUACCUCUUAAUGUUCUCGAAGGUUGUUCAGGUUUACGUAAUUCUGAGAAAGAGGUUCUGGAAUGGUGUCCUGGUAUGUUCCCCCACAAAAAUAGCCCCGGGUAAUAGAGCGAUGGAGCAAAGGGAAUGUUUAACCAUAGACAGCAAUUUGGAGGUGAUGUGGUGGAGGUGGGGGUUGUGAGGACUUCAGUUUUUGUUAAGGGAGGAAAAUGGAUUGAUGAGAACACACUUUAAGAAUAACAACUGGUAAACACAACCUAGUCCAGUUUUUCUGUGUUCCAAAGAAUACUAGUCCCACAAUAGUGUUCUGAGGUCCAACAGGAAAAAUGCCACACACUACCUUCUUCACUUGGUGAUUCAAAGGGUAGCAUGUUAGCCUAUGAAAGCUUUCGGAUAUCGUGUCUGCUUAACGUGCUCAGGCCAGCAAUCUCCCAAACCUAUCUGACUAUAGACAAGGCAGCUUUUUAAUGUUGUGCAGGCCUUGUGCAGAGGGCGGUGGGAGACGAAAUGCAGGCUGGGCCCUGCUUCCCCACCAGAGGAAGGGGCCUCUUUCUCUAAUUCCUUCCAUCUUGCCACGCUGUGAGCCCCCAGGGCUGCGUUCUCCUGAGGGGCCCUGUUCCAGCUGUAGCGUUGGCCUAGCUGUGGCCCUCCUAUAGAACCCUCUUUUUGAGUAACACCUAUUAACAAGCACAGAACUUGUUAAUGCUCCAUGGAACAUAUUUUGAGAAAUGCUGAAUUAAUCCAUUACCUAUCCUUAGUAGGAAAAAAAACAAAAAAAAACUGAAUCCAGAGACCUUAAGUGACUUAUCUGCAGUCAUUUUGUGGCAGAACUUAGAGCCAGAGCUCAGAUCUCUGGAUACUCUGUCCUGUGCUUGGUAGCACUAUUUAAGUUCAGGGUUUUUUUGUUUGUUUUUUUAAUGUUUAUUUAUUUUUGAGACAGAGAGGGACAGAGCAUGAACAGGGGAGGGGCAGAGAGAGAGGGAGACACAGAAUCCGAAACAGGCUCCAGGCUCUGAGCUGUCAGCACAGAGCACGACGCAGGGCUCGAACUCACGGACCG